UCCUCCCUCUUUCUUCGUGCUUAACACAUGCAAGUCGAACGGAAAGGCCCUGCUUUUGUGGGGUGCUCGAGUGGCGAACGGGUGAGUAACACGUGAGUAACCUGCCCUUGACUUUGGGAUAACUUCAGGAAACUGGGGCUAAUACCGGAUAGGAGCUCCUGCUGCCUGGUGGGGGUUGGAAAGUUUCGGCGGUUGGGGAUGGACUCGCGGCUUAUCAGCUUGUUGGUGGGGUAGUGGCUUACCGAGGCUUUGCCGGGUAGCCGGCCUGAGAUGGUGACCGGCCUCGUUGGGACUGAGAUACGGCCAAGACUCCUACGGGAGGCAGCAGUGGGGAAUAUUGCAUAAUGGGCGGAAGCAUGAUGCAGCAACGCCGCGUGCGGGAUGACGGCCUUCGGGUUGUAAACCGCUUUCGCCGGUGACGAAGCGUGAGUGACGGUAAUGGGUAAAGAAGCACCGGCUAACUACGUG
rnacentral:rRNA from 1 species